GGCUCAGUGGUCUAGUGGUUCUCGCUUUGGGUGCGAGAGGCCACGGGUUCGAUUCCCGUCUGAGCCC
rnacentral:tRNA from 1 species